CUGCAGCCUCUUUCGGGUACAAUACACAUCUGUAUUUCAAUUGUAUCUAACACAUUUGUCCCCUCAUCCUUAUAUCUUAACCUGCUUGGUUCUCUCGAGGUGUAAGAGUGUCAUUUCACAAGUCCUCUUCCGAUUUUAUAAGGGUAAUUAGCCCUUUUGUAACCACGAGGGCAUUUUGUUCCCUAUAGCUCCCCCCUCUCUCAAGUUUUCAUCUAAUACAAAUAGUCCCUUUGCUUUUUACGAGUCGUGAUAGAGGUGAUCAAGGAGCAAAAAAAUAAAUCUAACUGUUACCCCAAGUUUUAGCUUUGAAUUGAUGUUGUCAUUGCUCGUAUUCAAGGCAUGUAUUCCAAAAUAUCUGCAAUCUAAUAUGGUAUGUUUCCAUGGAAAGAGACGUUUCUCAUUUCUUGCAUCUUCUUUUUUACUUUAUACUUAACAUCUCUUCUUUAAAUAUCUUCAAUCCUUUUGUCUUAAUCUUUUUUCCACACACUUAGUCUUUCUACAACCAUAACCGUUUUCUUUUGAUUAGUCAUGACUUCUGCAACAUCUAAGUUCCCUAUCCACCAGAUUUUUUUGGUGACGUUUCGAUUUAGAGAUGAUUUUAAAGUUGAAGAUACUAAGAUUCGAUCGAUUAGCGAUCUAGGCUCCUUGGUAAAAGACAUCAAUAUCCCCGCCAUCUGUCAUGACUGAAUUUUUCAAAACCUUUCCUAUUGCUAUCUCACUGAUAUUUAAAGAGUGCCGUCUGAACCAAGCUAGGCUAUUCCUUUGUUUACACCCAUCCAUUCACUCUUGACUUCAACCCUUCUAUCAUAAAGUUGGUUGCAGCCUUUUGCAUGAGAUUUCAACUAAGUUUUGGGUAGGUUUGCUGACGUGUGGAGGACGGUAACCAAUCUUUACAUACACUAGCUCAUGGAUGAAGAAAGCCUAUCCAUGGAUUAUCUCGUUUUACUUUAUUCACCUCAUCUGUUUUACGGAGAGGUGGUCAAGCUAGUGUGUUGGGGGAAAAAAACCCCUCUUCUCGAGCUUGGACGAUAUUCAUGAUAGAGAGUAACUGCCAGGUUCUUUAUCAUGGCCACUGAAGAGUUGUCCAGGAUUUUUUUUGUAUUUCGCUGGAACUUCCACCCGUACAUCAUUCUUAAACGUGCUCUUCGUUGGAACCAGAACAUGGAUCAUUAAAAUCUUGGAGGUUUCUACUGCUGACAGCUAGAUUUUUGUAAAAAUUACCUCUGGCCAGGGGUGAAGAGUCAAGACCCAUGGUAUGAUUUUUAUUUACUUCAAGUUUUUUUUUACGUACUUCACGCCUGCAAUAUUUCCUGAAUUCAUCUAAAGGUCUCUCUAGAGGUCGACUUCUUAUCAAGGCCAGAUCAAGAUACUAAUUACUCACAUCUGAUCCUGUUUCGACAUGACAUGAAGUAUAUUGACCGGGUUGCCAUCGAAUUCUGAAAAAUAAUGCUCAAGUUACCCCAUAGGUCCACACGCUGACUUUUGACAACCUUCGGCUCUAUUUAAAGGAAAACAUAGUGUUGUCUAUGAAGGUUGAUGCUUUAGAAAAGAAAAUCUUCUUAUACCAUGACCCUUCGACAUCUACCGAUCUGCUGACAUUUCAAAAUUCAGUGAUCAGAACUUGAUGUGGCUCAUGGAAAGAUAGAUGGCCAUGCAUAUGAGGUCAUCAAGGGCUUAAAUAUACUCAAGAGAAACAUAUUGAGGCCUUCAUAAAAAAUAUGUCCACUUUUGGAAAGAGGAUACAACAUCUCAAAGCGAGAGACAGAGAUGGUGCAUCUCGUCAUAUUUCUCUAGCUUCUCAUAAUAAGAUAUAUUGGUUGGAAAGGAAAGUGAACUUCAAGAGUUAAAAGGUUUGCCAAUGAAGGCACAAAUCAGAAUUGGACAAACCACUCUUAGUUUUGAAGACCAACUUUAGAUCCUUGAGGACUUUAAUAUUGACAAAAAAUCUCUGAAUACCAGCACUUAUUAUGUCUUGCUUAUGAUUCUUCACCUCUGGAAUAACUUGUGUCCAUAUAUGAUGAAGACCUUUCAGACGAAGAGGCAUCUAUCGAGUGACGGCUCCUCUUUGAGACUCUGCUUUUAUGAUGUUUUAAAGAAGUUCCAACUUUUUUUGUACAUACCGCUUUGGGAUU